rnacentral:lncRNA from 1 species
UUUUCAAAAAAUUGUUUUUUUUUUUUUUGCAUUAUCGUAUAGUAUACACUGUUCUAAACAUUGUCUCAAAUUUUUAAAUCGAAAUUCAAAUUAUUACGGUCGCUACAGCGUUUCUUGUAGAAAGGGAACGGUUUUUCUACCUGCGCGUGUACUAAGGUGCUUAGGUUCUAUAACCUUGCAGAAUAAACUGUCCAAGCAUUUCAGUUCGUUUUUGACAUCCACCACGGAUAGACGUACGAGCGAAACCCCCAAGAAAAAAAUCAAGACCUGGCAUCGCCGAUUGAUCAUGAAAAUUGCGGCCGUCAUCGUGGAAACCGUGCAGCACCUUUGUUUUCACGUGAAAUUACAACAAUUUAUACAACAAUGAUGCACUCAAUAAA